rnacentral:tRNA from 1 species
AGCUAAUAAGUUUUAGAUAAACAUGUAUUUUGAAAAUACGAAAUGAAAGUUUAAUUCUUUCAUUAGCUU